UACGUAGGGUGCAAGCGUUGUCCGGAAUUAUUGGGCGUAAAGAGCUCGUAGGCGGUUUGUCGCGUCUGCUGUGAAAACUCGGGGCUUAACCCCGGGCCUGCAGUGGGUACGGGGUAGACUAGAGUGCGGUAGGGGAGACUGGAAUUCCUGGUGUAGCGGUGAAAUGCGCAGAUAUCAGGAGGAACACCGGUGGCGAAGGCGGGUCUCUGGGCCGUAACUGACGCUGAGGAGCGAAAGCGUGGGGAGCGAACAGG
rnacentral:rRNA from 1 species